UACGUAGGCAGCAAGCGUUGUUCGGAGUUACUGGGCGUAAAGGGUGUGUAGGCGGUUGCUUAAGUUUGGUGUGAAAUCUCCCGGCUCAACUGGGAGGGCGCGCCGAAUACUGAGUGACUCGAGUGCGGGAGAGGAAAGUGGAAUUCCUGGUGUAGCGGUGAAAUGCGUGGAUAUCAGGAGGAACAUCGGUGGUGUAGACGGCUUUCUGGACCGUAACUGACGCUGAGACACGAAAGCGUGGGUAGCAAACAGG
rnacentral:rRNA from 1 species